GCAAGCUCGGAGAAUAAGUGCUGGGUAAGACAGGUGGCAGCCGCCACGGUAAUACCUGCGGCACAAGUGGUGUCCACGAUUAUUGGGCUUAAAGGGUCAGUAGCUGGCCGGAACCGUCUUAUGUGAAAUAUUGGUGCUUAACAUCAAUGCGUGCAUAAGAUACCUUCCGGCUAGGGAGCGGGUGAAGUUGAGAGUACUUAUGGGGUAGGGGUAAAAUCCUGUAAUCCUAUAAGGACUAUCGGUGGCGAAGGCGCUCAACUAGACCGUAUCCGACAGUGAGUGACGAAGGCUAGGAGAACGAAUCGGAUUAGAUACCCCCGUAGUCC
rnacentral:rRNA from 1 species